rnacentral:tRNA from 4 species
UGCUCCGUCGUAUAACGGCAAUACAUUCGGCUCUGGACCGAAGAAUUGAGGUUCGAAUCCUUGCGGGGCAGC